AGUGAACGCUGGCGGUAGGCCUAACACAUGCAAGUCGAACGGCAGCACAGAGGAGCUUGCCCCUUGGGUGGCGAGUGGCGGACGGGUGAGGAAUACAUCGGAAUCUACUCUGUCGUGGGGGAUAACGUAGGGAAACUUACGCUAAUACCGCAUACGACCUACGGGUGAAGCAGGGGACCUUCGGGCCUUGCGCGAUUGAAUGCGCCGAUGUCGGAUUAGGUAGUUGGCGGGGUAAAGGCCCACCAAGGCGACGAUCCGUAGCUGGUCUGAGAGGAUGAUCAGCCACACUGGAACUGAGACACGGUCCAGACUCCUACGGGAGGCAGCAGUGGGGAAUAUUGGACAAUGGGCGCAAGCCUGAUCCAGCCAUACCGCGUGGGUGAAGAAGGCCUUCGGGUUGUAAAGCCCUUUUGUUGGGAAAGAAAUCCAGCUGGCUAAUACCCGGUUGGGAUGACGGUACCCAAAGAAUAAGCACCGGCUAACUUCGUGCCAGCCGCCGCCGUAA
rnacentral:rRNA from 1 species